AUAGUACUGGGGCUGCAACAAAAGAGGAAGAUGUGAUACUUCAGUAUGACCAGGCUGGAGAUACAAAGGAAGAAAGAGAAAUGGCUCCAGCCAAACAGAUGGAAAAAAGACGUGUAAGAAUUAGAUGUGGCUGGUGGUCACGCUGUGUUAUCAAUGGUUAAAUUUAUUGAUUUAUUCCUGUUCCAAUUUGAUUAAUAAAUUAUUUUCGAAGCUUACUGUUCUUCAGUGUUGUGUGUUGAUCCACGCAAAGUUUUGUUACUAAUGGAAGCAAACCCAUUUAGUCUAGUGUUAGUUAAUAGCUCAACCAAAUAAAAUCAUUCUUAUGAAGUAGGUCAAUGAUAACCUAUAUUUAAAAUAGGGUCUGUGAUACAAGGCUAUAAGUAUCUUUUUCGUGUAGCUCAAUUAAAUUUUUAAUGACUUACAAUUAAGCUAUAACUAAUUGUUGUUGUUUUUUUAUUAUUGAUUCUUGUGUUGUCAGGUAAAAACAAAUAAUUGUGCAAAAUUUCAGCUCGAUCCAAGAUUUGGUGUCUGAGAAAUAAUGGAUACAAACUUUUAAUAUAAGCUUUGUAAAAAAAAA
rnacentral:sRNA from 1 species